UCAUUGCUUCUUGGAACUUGUCUAAAUUUAUGGUUGUAGAACUUACUGCAAAAUUUGCAUGUUCGUGGUGUAGGCACCUGGAAAUAUUUUUAGACAAGUCCAUAAUAAGUUUAAGGAUAAUUGAAUUGAAAUCUGAUCAAGAGAUAAUGAAUUGCAAUUUGCUUAAAAAUGAGCAUUAUAGGUUGGCUACUGGUUCCAUGCCUUAAUGCCCCUGGAAAAGAAGGCUUAUCUGUCUUUAAUCUCUAGUCUUAAUUUGGUGGUACACAAAACAGCGUGAAAUCAAAGUAAAUUGCUAACCUAAGGCUUCAUUUCUUUCAUAUAUAAAAGUUUCUUGGAACACUUUUAUUUAUUCUUUUGCCUUUACCUGAUUGGGCACAUAAAAAUUUGGUCAACACAAAUAUUUUUCAGGUGAAAUGGGAAAACCUGAAAUGAGAUGUUUUGGAAUGGGAAUUCAUUUUAACUUGUAAAAUUGGAAAAAACUUUACCAAAAAAGCCACAUAGGCGCAUUGUCACUAGUCUAUUGACCAUCAUUGGUGGUUAUUGGUCAUUGUUGGCACUUGGCAGUUGCCAAUUACCUGUGACCAUCACAAGUUACCCUUGUCUUUGCAUGAUCUCUCUAUAGUCAAACAUUCUUAUGGUCUAUUACCACAAAAAGCAAAUUAAUUUUCUUAGAUGUACCCAAAACGGCUAAAUACUGGAAAAAAAAUUUAACGUUUAUUUUCUAUGUUGCGAGUAAACAAUGGAAAAUAGCUCAGAGAAUGUUUUCCAUGAAACAUUUUCACAAACAAGUUUUUUUUUUUUUUU